GAUGAACGCUGGCGGCGUGCCUAAUACAUGCAAGUCGAGCGAACAGAUAAGGAGCUUGCGCCUUUGACGUUAGCGGCGGACGGGUGAGUAACGCGUGGGUAACCUACCUAUAAGACUGGGAUAACUUCGGGACACCGGAGCUAAUACCGGAUAAGAUUUUGAAGCGCAUGGGUCUAAAGUGAAAGAUGGUUUUGCUGUCACUUAUAGAUGGAUCUGCGCCGUAUUAGCUAGUUGUUAAUGUAACAGGUUAUCAAGGCGACGAUGCGUAAGCGACCUGAGAGGGUGAUAGGCCACACUAGAACUGAGACACCGUCCAGACUCCUACGGGAGGGAGCAGUAUGGAAUCUUCCGCAAUGGGCGAAAGCCUGACGGAGCAACGCCGCGUGAGAGAUGACGGGUCUCGGCGCGUAAAACUCUGUUAUUAGGGAAGAACAAACGUGUAAGUAACUGUGCACUUCUUGACGGUACCUAAUCAGAAAGCCACGGCUAACUACGUG
rnacentral:rRNA from 1 species